rnacentral:rRNA from 1 species
UACAGAGGGUGCAAGCGUUGCUCGGAAUUAUUGGGCGUAAAGGGUAGGUAGGUGGUCUCAUUUGUCUGAGGUGAAAGCCUUGAGCUUAACUCAAGAAGUGCCUCAGAAACGGUGGGACUCGAGUCCUGGAGAGGGUCGUGGAAUUCCCGGUGUAGCGGUGAAAUGCGUAGAGAUCGGGAGGAACACCAGAGGCGAAAGCGGCGACCUGGACAGGCACUGACACUAAACUACGAAAGCGUGGGGAGCAAACAGG